AAAUUGAAGAGUUUGAUCAUGGCUCAGAUUGAACGCUGGCGGCAGGCCUAACACAUGCAAGUCGAACGGUAACAGGAAGCAGCUUGCUGCUUUGCUGACGAGUGGCGGACGGGUGAGUAAUGUCUGGGAAACUGCCUGAUGGAGGGGGAUAACUACUGGAAACGGUGGCUAAUACCGCAUAACGUCGCAAGACCAAAGAGGGGGACCUUCGGGCCUCUUGCCAUCAGAUGUGCCCAGAUGGGAUUAGCUUGUUGGUGAGGUAACGGCUCACCAAGGCGACGAUCCCUAGCUGGUCUGAGAGGAUGACCAGCCACACUGGAACUGAGACACGGUCCAGACUCCUACGGGAGGCAGCAGUGGGGAAUAUUGCACAAUGGGCGCAAGCCUGAUGCAGCCAUGCCGCGUGUAUGAAGAAGGCCUUCGGGUUGUAAAGUACUUUCAGCGGGGAGGAAGGUGUUGUGGUUAAUAACCGCAGCAAUUGACGUUACCCGCAGAAGAAGCACCGGCUAACUCCGUGCCAGCAGCCGCGGUAAUACGGAGGGUGCAAGCGUUAAUCGGAAUUACUGGGCGUAAAGCGCACGCAGGCGGUCUGUCAAGUCGGAUGUGAAAUCCCCGGGCUCAACCUGGGAACUGCAUUCGAAACUGGCAGGCUUGAGUCUUGUAGAGGGGGGUAGAAUUCCAGGUGUAGCGGUGAAAUGCGUAGAGAUCUGGAGGAAUACCGGUGGCGAAGGCGGCCCCCUGGACAAAGACUGACGCUCAGGUGCGAAAGCGUGGGGAGCAAACAGGAUUAGAUACCCUGGUAGUCCACGCCGUAAACGAUGUCUACUUGGAGGUUGUGCCCUUGAGGCGUGGCUUCCGGAGCUAACGCGUUAAGUAGACCGCCUGGGGAGUACGGCCGCAAGGUUAAAACUCAAAUGAAUUGACGGGGGCCCGCACAAGCGGUGGAGCAUGUGGUUUAAUUCGAUGCAACGCGAAGAACCUUACCUGGUCUUGACAUCCACAGAACUUUCCAGAGAUGGACUGGUGCCUUCGGGAACUGUGAGACAGGUGCUGCAUGGCUGUCGUCAGCUCGUGUUGUGAAAUGUUGGGUUAAGUCCCGCAACGAGCGCAACCCUUAUCCUUUGUUGCCAGCGGUCAGGCCGGGAACUCAAAGGAGACUGCCAGUGAUAAACUGGAGGAAGGUGGGGAUGACGUCAAGUCAUCAUGGCCCUUACGACCAGGGCUACACACGUGCUACAAUGGCGCAUACAAAGAGAAGCGACCUCGCGAGAGCAAGCGGACCUCAUAAAGUGCGUCGUAGUCCGGAUUGGAGUCUGCAACUCGACUCCAUGAAGUCGGAAUCGCUAGUAAUCGUGGAUCAGAAUGCCACGGUGAAUACGUUCCCGGGCCUUGUACACACCGCCCGUCACACCAUGGGAGUGGGUUGCAAAAGAAGUAGGUAGCUUAACCUUCGGGAGGGCGCUUACCACUUUGUGAUUCAUGACUGGGGUGAAGUCGUAACAAGGUAACCGUAGGGGAACCUGCGGUUGGAUCACCUCCUUA
rnacentral:rRNA from 1 species